AGUGAACGCUGGCGGUAGGCCUAACACAUGCAAGUCGAACGGCAGCACAGUAAGAGCUUGCUCUUACGGGUGGCGAGUGGCGGACGAGUGAGGAAUACAUCGGAAUCUACUUUUUCGUGGGGGAUAACGUAGGGAAACUUACGCUAAUACCGCAUACGACCCACGGGGGAAAGCAGGGGAUCUUCGGACCUUGCGCGAAUGAAUGAGCCGAUGUCGGAUUAGCUAGUUGGCGGGGUAAAGGCCCACCAAGGCGACGAUCCGUAGCUGGUCUGAGAGGAUGAUCAGCCACACUGGAACUGAGCCACGCUCCAGACUCCUACGGGAGGCAGCAGUGGGGAAUAUUGGACAAAGGGCGCAAGCCUGAUCCAUCCAUACCGCGUGGGUGAAGAAGGCCUUCGGGUUGUAAAGCCCUUUUGUUGGUAAAGAAAAGCAGCAGGUUAAUACCCCGCUGUUCUGACGGUACCCAAUGAAUAAGCACCGGCUAACUUCGUG
rnacentral:rRNA from 1 species